UGAACAGAACUGUGAGCAUGUGUGCGUGUGUGUUGUGUAAUAGGAGAGUAGGGCACACAACAUAAAAGAAUAGGAAGACAAUUACACAACACUCUUCCAGACCCCCUCUCCUCACACAAGUGAUUGUGAUAUUCAAAUCCCACACCCAUCGUGCACUGGUAUAAUUUAGAGAACUAAAAAGAAACCUUCCUCCAUAUCUGAAAAGUGCCAUGAAGAAGCUGAUCUUGAGCAGGGCUUGAAGAACUGGAGGCAUCAGGAGGAGUGGGGGACAUUUAGAAAUGUUCUUAUGGCUCAGAGUGAGUGUGAGGAGCCUGGAAUGGGACCCUCCCUAGGUCCCCUGUGUGAUCUUGUAGCAUCUCAACCUUUGCGAGUCCCACCGCUCUCCUGACCAAGGUCCGCUUCCUUCACAUCACCCUCCCUGUCACUGUGGAAAAGGCACUGGCCCCAGAGUCAGGGGCUUCCGGCCCCACCACACCCUCUGUUUCCUGGGGAAGCCACUCCCCUCUGUGGCCUCAGCUUCUUUAUCUCUAGAACAAAGCCAUGAGGCUACAAGGCCCGGGGCCUCCCAGCUCUGCUAUGUGACAGUUGUAAGGCCCUGGAAGUCACCCAGGAUCCAGGUGAUGAGUGUGUAGGAGGAGGUGCAGGUGGAGGAGGGACGCCCUGAGAGAAGACACAGCCUUCAGCUCUUCUUGCCCCAGAGUCCCUGCUCCUGUUCUGUCCUCAAGCUCAUCCAUCCCAUCCCAGAAACUUUGAUUCCUCCUUCCUUCAUGUGGCACACUCUCCCCACCUCCCUGCCACAACCUUUGGUCUGGACUCCCUCUGGUCUCUGCUGACAUGUUACUUCCUCAGGGACAGUUUGCCCCCCUACCCCUGUUGCACCCCAGGGAAGGUGAGUAGCUCCUGCUCAAGUGCAGUCGUGGCCAGUGAGCAUCACAUGAUUGCAUGUUUACCACCUGCCACUGUACUUUCCAUGACAAUGGUUUGGUAAGAGCAACCAACAUGGAAAAACUGCCAUCAGAAGUCACACUAUCUACUGUGCAGUGAAGCAGAGCAUUUUACAUGGUGAACGAAAGCUGUGACCAGAUUGUGAGCAGCACAUGUGACUGCGGUCCCUGUCACUGUGCUGCUGGCUGCAAACCGUGUGUCUGCCAGAAUAAGACAAGUAUUUGGACAACUUAUAAAUCAAGCAAAAAAUCAUUAUCAGUGUCGUUUCAACUAUGUCACCUGAAUGUGUUUUAAUCACUUCAAUACUAAAUUGAGGACAUGUAAGAAGAAGGGUUUUGUUGAUCUGAGAAUCCAGUGCAUCAAAGGUAGUCAUCAGUGCUCAAACAAGAUGUGACACGGUUACACGUGUACCCAUGGUGCCAGUGUGGCCACAAAGUUCAGGGUCUCACACAAAGUUUUAGAGAAAUUUCUGGAUAUUCUAACUUGGUACUGCGUAAGUCAUGUAUUCAGUGAUUUCAGGAUGAUACAGUGAAAUGUGAAUUCAAAUAAAUCACUUUAAAUAUUUACUUCAGGACACUUUGUAUUCACAUGUAAUAUACACAGUAAAUGAACAUCUGAGUUAGUUCCCAGAGAGGGGGUGUGGGGGUUGGGACAGCAGGGGAGGGGGAGCGGGAACACAGGCUGCAGUUAGGGAAUGAAGAAGUGACUGAAUAGAAGGCACAGCAUGAGGAACAGUCAUUGCUACUGUAACAGGAUGUGUUGGGGCAGCUACACCUGUGGUGGAGAGAGCACAAUGUGUGAACUUGUCAUACGUUACCUUGUACACCUGGAACCAAUGUGACAUUAUGUGUCAACUCUACUCAAAUUGAAAAAAAACUAUUUUUAAUUACUCUAUUACAA